GAAAUAAACCUGAUGGGUUGCUGCUGGCUCUUUAGGGAGCAUGUGCACACUUGUCAUCUUUAUAUCUCCACCUGUGCACCUUUUGUAGACCUGGAUAUCUUUCUGAAUGCCUGGCAUUCAGGUUUGAGGAUUGACUUUUGUCUUUCCUUACAUUUCUAGGCCUAUGUUUUCUUCAUAUACCCCAUUUAUGUUUUAGAAUGUAAUGAAAGGGGCCUUUGUGCCUACAAACCUUAUACAACUUUCAGCAACGGAUCUCUUGGCUCU
rnacentral:misc_RNA from 1 species